UCUACAAACCAUACACCCUAAACAGGCUCAAUCUUAUCUAAUCUUGAAAGCUAAGCAGGAUCAGGCCUGGUUAGUACUUGGAUAGGAGAUCAGGGAAGAA
rnacentral:rRNA from 1 species